rnacentral:rRNA from 1 species
AUUGAACGCUGGCGGCAGGCUUAACACAUGCAAGUCGAGCGAGCGGCGGACGGGUGAGUAAUGUCUGGGAAACUGCCCUAUGGCGGGGGAUAACUACUGGAAACGGUAGCUAAUACCGCAUACCAUCGGAUCUGCCCAGAUGGGAUUAGCUAGUUGGUGGGGUAAUGGCUCACCUAGGCGACGAUCCCUAGCUGGUCUGAGAGGAUGACCAGCCACACUGGAACUGAGACACGGUCCAGACUCCUACGGGAGGCAGCAGUGGGGAAUAUUGCACAAUGGGCGCAAGCCUGAUGCAGCAAUGCCGCGUGUGUGAUGAAGGCCUUCGGGUUGUAAAGCACUUUCAGCGAGGAGGCGUUACUCGCAGAAGAAGCACCGGCUAACUACGUGCCAGCAGCCGCGGUAAUAC